UCGCCGCAGCAGGCGGUAGAAAAGGCAAAAGAAAUGAAAAUGACUUGGAAACGGGCGAUUGUAUGCAAGUGUGCGACUUUAGUACUUGGCAAACUGUCAGUGAGUGUGAACGUUCAACAACGGUAUCGCUGAUUACUUUUCGUUUAAUUGUUGUUGGUUGGUCGAUCUGAUAUAGAACGGCGGAUACGGAUCCAACGAAAGAAUAUACGAAUUGUAUUAACGCUGGAAAAUCGAAGAAAUAUUGAAAAGAAAAAUAAGCGUGAGAAAUAUUAACUCCAUACGGUGGGGUACGAGUAGAAUUGGACGAGCGUGUCGCCAGCGAUCGCGUGUGUGUUUCUAUGCAUUUUUGCUCCUCCAAUUGUUUUCCUCAUGCCUUAGUCGGCAAGUUUUAAGUAUAUGCUCGUGUCUUAAAUGUUUUUGUGACUUAGCUUCCAAAAACCGAUUUUUCAAUUUAGUUCGAUUUUAUUCGAAAGAAAAUAAUUUAAAAAAUAUAUUUAAUUUAGAAAUUUGUGAAUGUCCUUUCAAAUAAGUUGCCAAAACGUGUGUGAAACCCACAUACAUACAUAAAUACCUACGAAGCCUGAAAGCAAUCGAAAAGCGAGUUAAACGGCAGUUUCAAAUAUUUUAAAAUAAUCAAAAAUCAGUGAGUGAAUUAUUCCAGUGUAACUCAAAGUGUAAUUCAAGUGCAUACCAUAAAAUAUCGCACAGAGCGUUGAAAAGGAAGAAAAAAGUGAAAUAAAAAGUCAAUAAACAAUACAAAAAAAUAUAAA